rnacentral:rRNA from 1 species
CUACGGGGCGCUGCAGUGGGGAAUACCGCACAAUGGGGGGAACCCUGAUGCAGCAACGCCGCGUGGAGGAUGACGCAUUUCGGUGUGUAAACUCCUUUUAUAUGUCAAGAAAAUGACGGUAGCAUAUGAAUAAGCACCGGCUAACUCCGUGCCAGCAGCCGCGGUAAUACGGAGGGUGCAAGCGUUACUCGGAAUCACUGGGCGUAAAGGACGCGUAGGCGGGUUGGAAAGUCAGGUGUGAAAUCCUACAGCUUAACUGUAGAACUGCACUUGAAACUUCUAAUCUAGAGUAUGGGAGGGGGAGAUGGAAUUAGUGGUGUAGGGAUAAAAUCCGUAGAUAUCACUAGGAAUACCUAAAGCGAAGGCGAUCUCCUGGAACAUUACUGACGCUAAGGCGUGAAAGCGUGGGGAGCAAACAGGAUUAGAUACCCUAGUAGUC